rnacentral:rRNA from 1 species
CCUACGGGUGGCAGCAGUGGGGGAUAUUGCACAAUGGGGGGAACCCUGAUGCAGCGACGCCGCGUGGGGGAAGAAGGGCCUCGGCGCGUAAAGCCCUGUCAGCAGGGAAGAAAAUGACGGUACCUGAAGAAGAAGCCCCGGCUAACAACGUGCCAGCAGCCGCGGUACUACGUAGGGGGCAAGCGUUAUCCGGAUUUACUGGGUGUAAAGGGGGCGCAGACGGCGAUGCAAGCGAGGAGGGAAAGCCCGGGGCGCAACCCCUGUACUGCUGGUGGAACUGCGGGGCGGGAGUGCAGGAGGGGCAGGCGGAAUUCCUGGUGUAGCGGUGAAAUGCGUAGAUAUCAGGAGGAACACCGGUGGCGAAGGCGGCCUGCUGGACUGCAACUGACGUUGAGGCCCGAAAGCGUGGGGAGCAAACAGGAUUAGAUACCCCGGUAGUC